AAAAAUUCUUUCAAGUUUUUUACAUUUCGCAGCAGAAAUGGUGACAAGUGCUUCAUAAAUAAUUUCCUCGAUAAGAAAAUAUCCGACCAUCAUGAACAGUUUGAAAGAGAUAUAUACUGUGGUGAGAAGGAAAUGGACACGGAUAAUUAUAUGCAGUUGACAUCGGCACAAAAUAGAAUAUACAUGAUGGAGAAAAGUGACAUCGGAGCACUAACCCGUCUGCUUCUGCUUCCUCUCACUAACUUGCAUGCUCUAGAGAAGACCCCUACCAACAGCACCGUCUGUCUGCCUGAGGAACUAUCACCACUAGAGAUGGAAAACCUGAGACAUAUUUGCUUUACUCCAUUAGAGAUGGAAAACCUACCAUGCCUUGUCCAUCCCUGAAUACUCUUUUACUGGUUGCAGCCCUUGGCACUGAGGUCAUCCAAGCUUCCAUGGCUCUGUUCAUCUGAAGCUCCGAUACGGUGGUUACCCGCUGAGUGGCAGAUCAACUGAGCUGUCAUGCCACCAUCAAGAAUAAACAUAAGGAAUCAGAAGCAGCUAUUACAAACAAUCAAAAGAACACCCUUGAUAUGACACAUUUUGGCAUCAUCCACGAAGCAAGUGACCUCAGACCUUGCUUCAACAAGCAGCAGGCAAAGGACCUUCGGGCUAACGAAGAAUGAUGCCUCAGACCCGGACAAGACGACCAAGUGACCUCCAUGUUGUUCGACGCCGUACAUGUCGACGCCGGACACCCCAAAGCC
rnacentral:lncRNA from 1 species